GUUUGAACUAAAAUUUUUUCAAAUAUUUUCUAUUAUGAGUGUAGUUUGUCUUUUAGUUUUUGUUUGAUUGUUUUAAAUUCUAAAUUAUUCAGUGUUUCCCACACACUAGUUGUCAUAAAAAGAUUUUCGUUCACCUUAUGAUGGCAGUAUAAAGAACACUCGAUGCAUAUUGAGACAUGAAUUCAAAUUUCUACCACUUCGGAAAGUAUCAAUGUCCUACGUGGAAAAUGGACUAGAAAAUACUGAUAAUAUUAAUGGUUUUAUGCAAUAUGGUAGUACAGCUGAUCACUCAAGGCUUGCUGAGACAUGACUUUGCAUUCAUACCACUUGGGAAAGUAUCAUCAUCUUACAUUGAAAAUUAACUGGAAGAUACUGAUAAUUAUAUAGGUUUUAUGCAAUGUACGUUAAAUGAUUUUUGAAUGUAAUUGAUAGUAAAUUAAUAGUAGUGUAACAAUUGAAAAUUUGUUAAAAGUCUGAAUAAAGGUUUGGGAAAAACCAUUAGCUU